GGCAAAUACAUGGCGUUCUAUUUUAAAUUAUAACUUAAAGUUGUUUGUUUUUGUUUUUGUUUUUCACACAGGGUCUUCUCUGUCACCCAGGCUGGAGUGCAGUGGUGAUCAUUGCUCAUUGAAGCCUCAGGCCCCUGGUCUUAAGUGACCCUCUCACCUCAGCCUCCUGAGUGGUUGGGACUAUAGAUUCAUUAAUAAUGCUGCAAUUAGUGAAAAACUUUUUCAUAUUUCAAGAUAUGUCCUCAAGCAAAAGGUUUGGAAACAACCAAAAUGUUCAUCAGUAGGAAACUCAUUAAAUAAAUUAUACAACACUGGCAUAACGGAAUACUAUAUAGAUGUUUAA
rnacentral:lncRNA from 1 species